AGAGAGGGUGAAGCAUGAAGUCCUCACCUUGGCACAGAAGGCUGCGAGAUAGGAGGAGGAGAGGGCAUGGCAGAUGGAGAGCGAAGCGGAGAUCUAUCAUCGCUGGAUCCAACUUCGAAGGGAGGAGAAGAUGGAGGCGCAUACAUCUUAGAAUGAAGAAGAAGUUUCGACUGGAAGGAGAUAGAGAAGAGAUCUGAGCAAGGGUGAGAGAAAGAGAAUGAGAGAGAGAAGAGAUCUGAAUACCCGAUGUGCGAUUAGCGAUAACUCUCGUCACC
rnacentral:lncRNA from 1 species